rnacentral:rRNA from 1 species
AGGGAAUCUUCGGCAAUGGGGGGAACCCUGACCGAGCAACGCCGCGUGAGUGAAGAAGGUUUUCGGAUCGUAAAGCUCUGUUGUAAGAGAAGAACGUGUGUGAGAGUGGAAAGUUCACACAGUGACGGUAACUUACCAGAAAGGGACGGCUAACUACGUGCCAGCAGCCGCGGUAAUACGUAGGUCCCGAGCGUUGUCCGGAUUUAUUGGGCGUAAAGCGAGCGCAGGCGGUUUGAUAAGUCUGAAGUAAAAGGCUGUGGCUUAACCAUAGUAUGCUUUGGAAACUGUCAAACUUGAGUGCAGAAGG